ensembl:lncRNA
UCCUGUAAAAUGGCCUCAUACUCUUUGGUUGUUAUUCGACCAUACAGAGCAACCAUCAGACCUACCGACAUCUGUGGGAUGGUCCAUAUAUGACGGAUCCUCCGCAUUAGUUAGGCAUUGGUUACUUCAGCGUUAAAGCCUUUGUUUCAUGUGGUGUCUGUUAUUUUGUCCAUGCCCUGUAUUUGAUACUUUUCUCCACAGCAACUUUCAUCAAGCUACCAACAGGGACUCACCCAUUUACACAGCUGGGUAAUUUUUGCUAUAAUUAUCAGUUGAGGGUAAGAGCCCAAGCAAGUUCUACAGCAGGGGGUGGGAACCAAAUGCUCUGACCACUAUGCCACCUGUUGCCCCACACAGUUGCCACUUGAUCAGGCUCCAAAAAUCUAUAUGUCUCUGUUCCACUUUCCUAUAAUACUCUGGGCACAGCUGUGAAUGAAAAUACUGGUGUUUACACCUAAUGUAUACAAACUUUGCCGCACACAGGAAAGUAUAACAGCAUAGAAAGUGUCUGUAGUGCCCCCCCGUCAGCUCCACCCCACCCUCUCUCUUACACACACACACACACACACACACACAGGCAUCCCCCCCCCCGGAGACUCAUUUCUUUCUCCUGCUGCCUUGUUCUCCUCGUAAGCAACAUUUGCGUUUUUCCCAUUUGUGGCAGAUUACUGUAUUGCUAUUGUAAAACGACUUCCUGCCUCCUCCGGCGGUGCUGCCAGACCAGCGGCUCGGCUCGGCUCACAGCCCCACUCCCCCGGCAGCAGCAGCAGCACAAAAGACACGGGAAAGGGAAAUGCUUUAUCUAGAAAUCUCUCUCCCAUUGUGGACUAUGUUAACAAGCUAAUUUCGCUCGUUCCUCUUGUUAAAGCUGCCGAGAGGGAAGCGUGGGGGACGGGGACUGCGUGCGGGACACAAAAAGGGUUCUACACGUCCCAGAUGGGGAUCCCAGAGCUUGGUCUUCCACGAGACAGCGCCAUCGUUCUGCUAGGAGGGGCACUACAUACGGAGAGCCACUGAGUGGUAACUUGAACAUUAUUAAUAUGUGGCCUGUUUUCACUUCAAUAACGCAAUAUCACCUUUUGCAACAUUAAAAAGAAAUGUGAUGUUUUACAUUCUCCAUCCCUUACUUACUCAUAUUUUGUAUGUCAGGAAAAAAAAAAAGUUGAGUUUUUCUUUUUUUUUUUUUUUUUUAAAAAUAAUGUAUGUGCAAAAAUUGGUUUAAAAAAAGGUCUGAGUCACUAGGCCAAAGUUGUAUUUAAAUAAUCACAGGGGACAUUCUAAACCAAUUAGGUUGUUAUUACUUACUAAGCAAACUAUUUAAUUUAGCACCUCUGCCCAAGACAACUUACAAAGUGGGAUUUGUAUAGAAAGCUCCUUUCACUGAUUCAUGUAACUGGGUAACGUUUGCUGUGCCAGUCCUGGGUAAGUACCUUUAUCAUGGGUACUACAGCAGGAGCAGGGAUUCGAACCUGUGCCGUUAGUGAGCCAACAGCUGUACUCUACAUCAAGUGUGUGUAAGCCAUCGUUAGUCCUGUUUGCUUAUCUGUGUCCUGUUGCUAUUUGUCAAAUACCAACAGAGUGCAGCAAUGGGGAAACUCACUGUAUUCUAUCUUCAUGUGGAUUAAUAGCCUAGUGUACCUGAAAAGGUAAACCAAGUUUACACCAACAAAUACAUCUGAGAGAUCUGGGGCAAUUCAGGAUGGAAAGUAAUGCCCUGUAAGGAUAUUAUCACUGUUUGUAGGUUUCUACAGUCAGGUAAGUUUUUUUUUUUUUUUUUUUCCCCCUUCUUCUUUUUCUGAACCGCUUGUCCCAUACGGGGUCACGGGGAACCGGAGCCUACCCAGCAACACAGGGUGUAAGGCCUGAGGGGGAGGGGAGACACCCAGGACGGGACGCCAGUCCGUCGCAAGGCACCCCAAGUGGGACUCGAACCCCAGACCCACUGGAGAGCAGGACCCAGUCCAACCCACUGCGCUACCACGCCCCCCCAGUCAGGUAAGUGUUGGAUUAAAUCUAU